rnacentral:antisense_RNA from 1 species
CUUGAUGGAGCCCAGCAGCAGCGGCUGGUUCUCGGGCCGGUCCUGGCCGUAGGUGGCGAGCAGCGCCUGCGCCUC